rnacentral:rRNA from 1 species
AGAGUUUGAUCAUGGCUCAGAAUUAACGCUGGCGGCGUGCCUAACACAUGCAAGUCGAGCGAGAAAGUCCCUUCGGGGGCAAGUAAAGCGGCAGACGGGUGAGUAACGCGUGGGAAUCUACCCUUGAGUGAAGAAUACCCUCGAGAAAUCGAGGUUAAUACUGCAUACGUCUUUAACGAGAGAAAGGUGGCCUCUUUGCUACCGCUCGGGGAUGAGCCUGCGUACUAUUAGCUAGUUGGUGGGGUAAUGGCCUACCAAGGCGAUGAUGGUUAGCCGGCCUGAGAGGGUGUACGGCCACACUGGAACUUAGACACGGUCCAGACUCCUACGGGAGGCAGCAGUGGGGAAUCUUGCGCAAUGGGCGAAAGCCUGACGCAGCGACGCCGCGUGGAGGAUGAAGGUCUUCGGAUUGUAAACUUCUGUUAAGUGGGAAGAAAGGCCUGGUUCUAAUACAGCCAGGAAAUGACGGUACCACUAGAGAAAGCACCGGCUAACUUCGUGCCAGCAGCCGCGGUAAUACGAAGGGUGCGAGCGUUAUUCGGAAUUAUUGGGCGUAAAGGGCGCGUAGACGGCAUGUUAAGUCAACUGUUUAAUUUCCCGGCCUAACCGGGGUACAGCGGUAGAAACUGGCGUGCUAGAGGGUGGAAGAGAGAAGUGGAAUUCUCGGAGUAGCGGUAAAAUGCGUAGAUCUCGAGAGGAACACCAAUGGCGAAGGCAGCUUCUUGGUCCAUACCUGACGUUGAGGCGCGAAAGCGUGGGGAGCAAACAGGAUUAGAUACCCUGGUAGUCCACGCUGUAAACGAUGAUCACUAGACGUCAGUCUCGUUUUAGAGAUUGGUGUCGUAGCUAACGCGUUAAGUGAUCCGCCUGGGGAGUACGGUCGCAAGAUUAAAACUCAAAGAAAUUGACGGGGGUCCGCACAAGCGGUGGAACAUGUGGUUUAAUUCGACACUACGCGAGGAACCUUACCUAGGCUUGACAUGCUUUUGACCGUUGUGGAAACACAACUUUCUAUGCUUCGGUAUAGACAAUUGCACAGGUGCUGCAUGGCUGUCGUCAGCUCGUGUCGUGAGAUGUUUGGUUAAGUCCUCUAACGAGCGCAACUCCUAUCAUCAGUUGCAACUUCGCAAGAAGGCACUCUGAUGAGACUGCCUGGGAAACCAGGAGGAAGGUGGGAAUGACGUCAAGUCAUCAUGGUCCUUAUGUCUAGGGCUACACACGUGUUACAAUGGCUAGUACAAAGGGUUGCAAGCUCGUAAGAGUAAGCUAAUCCCGUAAAGCUAGUCUAAGUUCGGAUUGAGGUCUGCAACUCGACCUCAUGAAGCUGAAAUCGCUAGUAAUCGCAUAUCAGAACGAUGCGGUGAAUACGUUCACGGGCCUUGUACACCCCGCCCGUCACGCCAUGAAAGCUGUUUGUACCCAAAGUCACUUUAGCUAACCUGUUAAAGGGGGCGAGUGCCUAAGGUAUGAAGAGUGAUUGGGGCGAAGUCGUAACAAGGUA